rnacentral:rRNA from 1 species
UACGUAGGGGGCAAGCGUUGUCCGGAAUCAUUGGGCGUAAAGCGCGCGUAGGCGGCUCGAUCAGUCUGCUGUAAAAGUCAAAGGCUCAACCUUUGAAUGCCGGUGGAUACUGUCGGGCUCGAGUCCGGAAGAGGCGAGUGGAAUUCCUGGUGUAGCGGUGGAAUGCGCAGAUAUCAGGAGGAACACCAACGGCGAAGGCAGCUCGCUGGGACGGUACUGACGCUAAGGCGCGAAAGCUAGGGGAGCAAACGGG